rfam:TPA: Bos taurus chromosome 21, whole genome shotgun sequence.
GGAUCGAUGAUGACACCCUCACAUGCAUUCCUUGGAAAAUCUGAACAAAAUGAGUGAGAACUCACUACUGUCUCCUCAUCGAAACUGAGGUCC